rnacentral:rRNA from 1 species
CCUACGGGAUGCAGCAGUGGGGAAUAUUGGACAAUGGGCGAAAGCCUGAUCCAGCCAUGCCGCGUGUGUGAAGAAGGCCUUCGGGUUGUAAAGCACUUUCAGUGGGGAAGAAAGCCUUGGGGCUAAUACCCUCGAGGAAGGACAUCACCCACAGAAGAAGCACCGGCUAACUCCGUGCCAGCAGCCGCGGUAAUACGGAGGGUGCGAGCGUUAAUCGGAAUUACUGGGCGUAAAGCGCGCGUAGGCGGUCUGAUAAGCCGGUUGUGAAAGCCCCGGGCUCAACCUGGGAACGGCAUCCGGAACUGUCAGGCUAGAGUGCAGGAGAGGAAGGUAGAAUUCCCGGUGUAGCGGUGAAAUGCGUAGAGAUCGGGAGGAAUACCAGUGGCGAAGGCGGCCUUCUGGACUGACACUGACGCUGAGGUGCGAAAGCGUGGGUAGCAAACAGGAUUAGAUACCGAGUAGUC